CACUUGUCAGUUCAGACUUCACAUUAAUAACACGCAUCAUGCACGCAGUGUUUGUAUUCUCUUUGCUUAUUGUUUGUUUAUUUUGCAGUGUUAAAAUGGCAACUGGACGAAGUUUAUCUGAAAAGCCACAAUACAAAUUAGAAGAUGCGCCGCAAUUAUUUGAGAAGUUUAUCAAAGAUUACGACAGAAAGUACGCGAAUGACGAAGACAGAAAGAUUCACUACGACGCAUUUGUGAGAAGAUUAGAGAAAAUAAACAAAGCGAACGCUUCCAAUACAGCGACCUUUGACAUUAAUAAAUUCGCCGAUUACACACCGGAGGAUAGUAAACAUUUGUUUGGAUUUAAGAAACGUACAUGAAUCAUAAUAUCGUGGUUGAUGAUGACAUUUUUUAACACAAUAUAAUAAUAUAAUCGACGACCCAUAUAGCCGAAUGGUUAGUGACCCUGACUUCUAAGCUAGAGGUCCCGGGUUCGAAUCCCGGUAGGUGCAAUCAUUUAUAUGAUGAAUAUGGAUGUUUGUUUCUGAGUCAUGGAUGUUUAUAUGUAUUUAUGUAUAUUUAAGUAAGCAUAUUGUAUUAAAUAUAUCGUUGUCUUGUACCCAUAGUACAGGCUAUGCCUAGUUUGCGGCAAGAUAAUUUGUGUAAAAGUGUGUCAAUAUUAUAUAUUAUUAUUAUAAUCCAUGAAUACUUAUUUUAAAUCUGAAUUUAAAACAGUCUGUACACCUGAAAGUUAUGUCAAUGUAAAUUAUAAAGAUAAUUAAUUAA